rnacentral:rRNA from 1 species
UACAGAGGAGCCAAGCGUUGUCCGGAUUGACUGGGCGUAAAGCGCACGCAGGCGGUCGCGCGCGUGGGGUGUGAAAUCUGGCCGCUUAACGGCCAGGCGCCAUCCCAUACGGCGCGACUGGAGUGAUGCAGAGGUCGGUGGAAUUGCCGGUGUAGUGGUGAAAUGCGUAGAGAUGCGGAGGAACACCGAUGGCGAAGGCAGCCCCCUGGGCCAAUACUGACGCUCAGGCACGAAAGCGUGGGGAGCAACAGG